UGGUUGUUUGUUUAUUUGACAUAAGUACUUUUUUUGUAAGUUUCUUUUAGGGGACUCGGGGCGUUCUCGGGUGGUGGUUGCGGGUAACACUUGGCAUAGAACAUUUAGUACAUGAUCAUGUUGGCGAGCCUUUAGGUAGCCAUGUUUCUGCCUUUGCUACCUUCGUUAUGUUUAUUAUAUAAGAAUGAUUCUAUCUAUCUAUAUAUACGCACACAUGUAUAUCCCUUUUUGACUAUAGUUAGUAGAAAAAAAUGGCAGCUAACUCAGCUACCAAAUGAGUUUAUCUAUUCUGCACCUCAUACGAUUGGAGUUGCAGUGAGAUAUGCAAAUCCGUAGAACGAAUUAAAGUUCAUAACAAAUGUGGUGAAAAUUAUGCUGCACUUUGGAACCGACACACAUUAAUAUGUACAAAAGAAAAGACAAGUGAAGAAUACACGACAAUCAUGGAGAUGACCACAGUUAGAGAGAAAAGCAAGUGUGAAGUUUGAAUAUAUAUAUGCUCCUCGACCAAUCGAAAUUGCUAAAGCUAUUGGUAUGGAUGAUGCUGAAGCUAUAAUUUAAGUUGGUAUCAAAUGUAUUUUUUUUUUAUUUGUAAUUGUUUGUCACCUCUAUGUUUACAUGUUCAUUCAGGUCACCUUUAUAUCGCCACAUUUUAAGAACCUAUUUUUUUGUUCACUCUGGUUGUUUGCUUAUGGGGUAAAUGUGCACAUAAAAGUUUUGAGGUUCUAUGCAUAUGGGGUAAAUGUGCACAUAAAAGUUUUGAUGGGUAUUGACUUUCAACGUGUACCGUUUCGACGGGAACCGUUCGUCGAAGCGGUUCAACCCGUACCGCUUCUACACGUACCGUUUCUACCUGUACCGUUUCGACCAAUACCGUUUCGAAUCGAACUGUUUCGACACGAACCGUUUCUAACCGUACCGUUUCAUAAGUGCAUUAUUGGAAUUCAUGAAGUUCCGAAAGAUUCGGCUUUAGGCAGAUUGAAAGGAAGCGACAAUGCGAUAAUUAAGUUCUUACAUUGUUACAAUUCCGUGUAAACUUUUAGUGACCUUUUUUAUAGCGACUGUAUCAAUUAGUCGACGAAAAUGUAACUGCAGGUGGAGAUAUGCAGUCGGUGUUAUGAGCACCCGAACCUGUUGGUGAUUCAAGGUGCAGGAGCAGGCAAUGAUACUACAUCAUUGAUCUUCAGGAUCAGUUUCCAUUUACAAAUACUGGGAAAUGAUUUGAUAACCGGUGAAGAAGCCAUUGAAACUGCUAAGCUUCUUGCACUGAAAGAAGGCUUGCUGUUGGGGAUAUCAUCCGGGGUAGCUGCUGCUACCUUAAUUAAAAUCGCAAAAUGACCAGAAUACGAAGGAAAACUCAUUGUUGUUGUUUUUCCAAGCUUCGGGGAGCGUUAUUUGUCAACGGUGCUAUUUGAUUCUGUGAUGAAUGAAGUACAAAACUUACCAGUCGAGUGAGUCAUUGAUCACAAGGCGGAGUUGUAAGACCGCGUGUUAUUUGGCUGUGAAAGAACAUCUUUCUUUUUAUUUUAAAGAAAUUAUACUUACUUGAUUAUCAACUGAACCAAUUGUUGUUGAACUGUUUUAAAGUAUUUGAUUAUUGGCCAAGAAAUGGUUUCUAACUAAAACGUAUGAACAAAUACAAGGCCA